rnacentral:tRNA from 1 species
GCGUGAGUAGUUUAAUGGCUAGAAUUCUAGCCUUCCAAGCUAGAGAUCCGGGUUCAAAUCCCGGCUCGCGCA